rnacentral:rRNA from 1 species
ACGGAAGGCAGCAGUGGGGAAUUUUGCGCAAUGGGGGAAACUCUGAACCAGCCAUCUCGCGUGAAGGAAUACGGCCCUACGGGUCUUAAACUUCUUUUAUAGGGGGAUAAAGUGAGGCAUGCAUGCCUUUUUGUAGGUACCCUAUGAAUAAGCAUCGGCUAACUCCGUGCCAGCAGCCGCGGUAAUACGGAGGAUGCGAGCGUUAUCCGGAUUUAUUGGGUUUAAAGGGUGCGCAGGCGGCACGUUAAGUCAGCGGUGAAAUGUCGGGGCUCAACCCGGGCACUGCCGUUGAAACUGGCGAGCUCGAGUACGGAUGAAGUUGGCGGAAUGUGAUGUGUAGCGGUGAAAUGCUUAGAUAUGUCACAGAACACCGAUUGCGAAGGCAGCUGACUAAUCCGCAACUGACGCUCAGGCACGAAAGCGUGGGGAUCGAACAGGAUUAGAUACCCUGGUA